rnacentral:rRNA from 2 species
CCAUGCAGUCGAACGGCAGCACGGGAGCAAUCCUGGUGGCGAGUGGCGAACGGGUGAGUAAUACAUCGGAACGUGUCCUGUAGUGGGGGAUAGCCCGGCGAAAGCCGGAUUAAUACCGCAUACGCUCUACGGAGGAAAGGGGGGGAUCUUAGGACCUCCCGCUACAGGGGCGGCCGAUGGCAGAUUAGCUAGUUGGUGGGGUAAAGGCCUACCAAGGCGACGAUCUGUAGCUGGUCUGAGAGGACGACCAGCCACACUGGGACUGAGACACGGCCCAAACUCCUACGGGAGGCAGCAGUGGGGAAUUUUGGACAAUGGGCGCAAGCCUGAUCCAGCAAUGCCGCGUGUGUGAAGAAGGCCUUCGGGUUGUAAAGCACUUUUGUCCGGAAAGAAAACCUCGGGGCUAAUACCUCUGGGGGAUGACGGUACCGGAAAAAUAAGCACCGGCUAACUACGUGCCAGCAGCCGCGGUAAUACGUAGGGUGCAAGCGUUAAUCGGAAUUACUGGGCGUAAAGCGUGCGCAGGCGGUCCGCUAAAACAGAUGUGAAAUCCCCGGGCUUAACCUGGGAACUGCAUUUGUGACUGGCGGGCUAGAGUAUGGCAAAGGGGGGUAGAAUUCCACGUGUAGCAGUGAAAUGCGUAGAGAUGUGGAGGAAUACCGAUGGCGAAGGCAGCCCCCUGGGCCAAUACUGACGCUCAUGCACGAAAGCGUGGGGAGCAAACAGGAUUAGAUACCCUGGUAGUCCACGCCCUAAACGAUGUCAACUAGUUGUCGGGUCUUCAUUGACUUGGUAACGUAGCUAACGCGUGAAGUUGACCGCCUGGGGAGUACGGUCGCAAGAUUAAAACUCAAGAGA